CAGGGUGCUGUGUUUUUGAAUUGGGUAAAUUUCCAUUUGCUUUAUGUUCAGGCCUCCAAGGAUCUUGUCCUGUAAUAUUGAAGAAAAGCAACUUGAUUCCAUAGAGGCUUCAUGUAAGUUAUGGUAAUAGAGCCCCACUGACUUGGUUAAGAUCCUUCGGAAAACAGUCACUCAGAAGAAUUUUAAUCUAACCAUUUGGAGUCCUUGAUAUAUAUGCUCUGGACUGAGAGAAGAGCAUGCAAGUGCCUGAAGAAUCUCAGAGAGAGAGAGAGAGAGAGAGAGAUGACACAGCCGUCACAUAUGUCCUAUAAUAAUAAGUGAAUAUAUUCUGUAAUCUACACUGUGCCAAAUGAGGAAGAACUGACCAGGAAUAGAUUUAAAAAGGACCAUUUGCAUUUGAUAUUACCCCAACCAAAUGGGUACACCUUCAGAAAUCCAAGGGUGAAGGAGGCAGCUUGAGCUGGGGGCGCAAAGGACAAACAAAAAGAUGCUAUCACCUGAGUAACUGGAAGUACAAUAGAACAUGCCACGAGAGAAGAGUCAAAUUUAAACAUUUGCUACAGCAAAAUCAUAACAGUACUAAGUAAGUAAAACCAUUCGUUCCCCUACCUCCCUUUUCUUCCAA